GACGAACGCUGGCGGCGUGCUUAACCCAUGCCAGUCGAACGGAGUGGCGAACGGGUGAGUAACCCGUGGGUUAUCUGCCUUGCCCUCUGGCAUCAGCUUGGGACACUGGCUCUAAUACCGGAUAGUGCAAGAUUGGCUCGCGGCCUAUCAGCUUGUUGGGGGGGUAAUGGCCUACCAAGGCGUCGACGGGUAGCCGGCCUGAGAGGGUGGACGGCGACAUUGGGACUGAGAUACGGCCCAGACUCCUACGGGAGGCAGCAGUGUGGAAGAUUGCACAAUGGGCGGAAGCCUGAUGCAGCGAGGCCGCGUGGGGGAGGACGGCGUGCGGGUUGGAAACGCCUUUCGACAGGGACGCGGUACCUGUAUAAGAAGCACCGGGUAACUACGUGCCAGCAGCCGCGGUAAUAC
rnacentral:rRNA from 1 species